GAAAAAGUUUGAAAACACUGCAAAAAGUUGAAAAGGGUUGAAAAAAGUUGAAAACACUCUAAAAAGAAAUCUUAAAAAACCUGAUAAAGUUAAAAAACCUGAAGGUUGUAAAACUUGCAAAAGGCUGAAAAAGUUGACGAAGUUAGAAAGACCUGAAAAACAGUUUUAAAAAAAGUAAAAAAAAGAAACCUUAAAAAGGUUUAGAAAUACUUAAGUUGGAAAAGAUUAAAAAA